rnacentral:rRNA from 1 species
ACAGCAGCCGCCGCGGUAAUACGGAGGGGGCUAGCGUUGUUCGGAAUUACUGGGCGUAAAGCGCACGUAGGCGGCUUGGUAAGUUAGAGGUGAAAGCCUGGAGCUCAACUCCAGAAUUGCCUUUAAGACUGCCGAGCUAGCAGGUGAGAGAGGUAAGUGGAAUUCCGAGUGUAGAGGUGAAAUUCGUAGAUAUUCGGAAGAACACCAGUGGCGAAGGCGGCUUACUGGCUCAUACUGGACGCUGAGGUGCGAAAGCGUGGGGAGCAAACAGGAUUAGAUACCCCAGUAGUCCCUGUCUCUUAUAC